AAUAAUGUGUUGACGAGCAAAAGUAUUUUUCAUGGCUUGAGUAAGCGAACCGCGUUUGGUGAGAGGCGGUACCAACUAUGAUCAAGAAAAUCGGCUCUGAGCAAUGAAUCGAAAUUUUUAGUAGAAUUCACUGGCUGCCACCAUUAUCUGGCUAGCGUAUCGGCAAUUUUUGCCCGCACGUGAAGAGGUAGUUGCAGUAAUGUCGCUACAAAUAAAGGUGGUACCACGUUAAUAUAACGUCCUUCAA
rnacentral:ncRNA from 1 species